rnacentral:pre_miRNA from 1 species
GUGCAAUAUAGUUGGUUGUGGAAGCUGGCGAAUGUCACGCAAAGCCCCUACUCGUACAUCUGGUCAAACGAAUCUAAUGCACCAGAACUGGUCAAUGGAC